rnacentral:rRNA from 1 species
CUACGGGACGCUCCAGUGGGGAAUAUUGCACAAUGGGCGCAAGCCUGAUGCAGCAACGCCGCGUGAGGGACGAAGGCCUUCGGGUUGUAAACCUCUUUUAGCAGGGAAGAAGCGAAAGUGACGGUACCUGCAGAAAAAGCACCGGCUAACUACGUGCCAGCAGCCGCGGUAAUACGUAGGGUGCAAGCGUUGUCCGGAAUUAUUGGGCGUAAAGAGCUCGUAGGCGGUUUGUCACGUCUGCUGUGAAAUUUCGAGGCUCAACCUCGAACUUGCAGUGGGUACGGGCAGGCUAGAGUGCGGUAGGGGAGAUGGGAAUUCCUGGUGUAGCGGUGGUAUGCGCAGAUAUCAGGAGGAACACCAAUGGCGAAGGCACAUCUCUGGGCCGUAACUGACGCUGAGGAGCGAAAGCGUGGGGAGCAAACAGGAUUAGAUACCCCGGUAGUC